CAAAGGGAAAGUUUGUGAUGCUUCCAGAUUGCACCAACAGUGUCCAAAGGGAUUAGCGGACAUCAACAUCACUCUCUCGUCUUAGCGGACACCCCAUCAACAUCAGUAUCACUCAAGGCUUGGAAAGAGCAAGACUUUGAGAGGACAGGUUGCUGACCCAAGUGCAAGAAAUAUUGCUCGAAUAUAAUUUCUGUACAGUGCAAGCAUAGAAAGAGGCUGCUCCAGACCUGCAAUGCAAGGACAAGUUUAUCCUUCAGUGUGUAAAAACCAAUGAUGGUGCAACUCCAAAAGAGAUUACUCUAGAAGUGGUACUUACAGUACACAAUGUUGUGGAUUCUGAUGUGUAUGGGUUCUUUAUGUCGAAUGCUAUUCAUUUGGGGGAUUAGGGUUGUCUGUAGUUCAAUAAAGAGGCAGGACAUGUGGUUGUGGAGUGCAAAUUGAGAGUGGCAUAUGUUUCUCCACCUCAACCCCCUUCUUCUGUCCCAGAAGAGUCAGAGGAAGGGUCUUCACCAAGAGGUUCAGUUAUGGAGAAUGAAAAUCUUAAUGGUGUUAGAGUUUUCCAAUCUGCAGAAGGAUUUUUGGAGCAGCUUGAAGCUCUGGAGAGAUCCGCAGAGGUCAGAUAUCUGUUACUUUGAAAAAUAGAAGAGAGGCUGUACUUUUUGAAUUUUAAAGAAAUGGAAGCCCAUAAGGAUGACAACAACCUAACUCUCUCCCAAAGCUCAAGCUCAUUAACGCACACUUGCAUCGAUGGAUUCACAAUCUGAUGAUUUCAAGGGGGCCCUUAUAAGUCAUCAAUUUCAUUAAUUCAAGCACCAAAUUCAGAUGAGGUUUUACUUGCAUAUGAAAUAAAUAGAGAUGUAAAUUAUGAACAGCUUUGCUUUUGUGGGUCAUUGUGUGUGCUGCUGUGUUCAAUAUCUGUCUAGAUUUUCAGGUUAUGUAGAUCUCUUGGUUUCUUGAUUAAAUUUGUCCAUGAUGCUCGCAGGUGUUCUUCAAAGGUUGAUGAUGCCAUGAGCAGGAAGUGACAUCUCUUCUUCGUGGUAGUAGACACAAAACCUGAGGCAAAUUUUUGCCCUUUUCCUCUGUUUGAUAGGUGAUUAGUUUUUCACUUUAGAUUAAUUGUUUAAAGCUUCAAUUUUGUUUUGUUUUUUUUGUAGUAUUCUUUGCCUCAUCAAGUAGGAGGAGUUGGGAAAGUGGAAAUCCCCGUGAGGCUGUAGAUUUCUGGGGUUUGACCAAAAACCCAGGUGAACAAAACUCCCCAAGUUUGAUUCUUUAUCUCUCAGAUUUUCAUUUGGUUGUGGAAACAGUUUGUUGCGUUUUGAUUCAAUUGGCCUGUUUUGGGUUUGAUUGCUAUGUGUGAGUGGAUUUAUUGUCAGAAUAAUUCAGCAUCUGAAUUGCCUGUUUUGGUAAGAGAAAGUUUGAAAAUUGGGUUUAUAGAAAGGGAAAGAUUAUAUUUUUACGCCAAAUAAUUGAGAGCUUCUAUUCCCGUUUUCCAUUCAUGCUGGGGUAUUUUUUUUUUUUUUUACUUUUUAAUUAUGCUUUUUUGUCUUCAAGUUUUUUACUCAGGAUUUCAUGGGUGGAAAACAGAGGGGAAGAAAGGAUUUCGAAGGAUUUAGUAAAUAGGACAGUGAUUUAGUAAAUAGUAAACAGAGCGGUUGAUAUUGAGAACUGAGAAGGUAUGGUCACAAGAGUUCAGAAGAGUUCGCAAAAUAUAACACCUCUUGCAGACAUAGUAUGGUAGUCUUACUUUUCCUUAUAGCUACUCUUUUUUUCUUCUGUUUUGAAUCUAUUAGUCACAAUUGUCCUGUGUUUUCAAAUUACUGAUAUCAAAAUUGUCAAUAACAAGUUGUUGACCUAUCCACUGGAGUAGAAGAAAUUCUACUAGUCGAAGUGAUUUGAGUCUUCAACAAAAGAGAUUCUCAAUGCAAGCUAGAUCAAGAGACUUUCGAUCGAACCGGAUUUAAGCCAUCAAACAACCAAAGAAGUUUGUGCAGUAAUGAUGGCAAAUGUCCAGAAAACCUUAUUAAGAGCAGCGAUUCCACUUUAUACCAUGCAAUCUUCUGCAUAACUAUUGGUUAUUUUCAUCAGUGUGUGAUAGCUUUCAACGGCUAACGCAUAUAUGUAUCUAGCUCAUCCAAUCUAGCUGACAAUUGUUCAUUGA